UGGGCCGGUCGGGGGAGGGGCUUUGGGGUAAGAGCGCUGAGGUGACGAGAGGCUGGGAACGGAGGUCUUCCGGUCUGAGGUGCUGAGGUCUCAGGAUCGAGGGAUGAAAGAGAAGAGGAUCAAUCCCACACAACUCAUUAUCGCAUUGCAACCUGAGACUGGAAGUGCCUGGGGGCGGGAGGCGUUUCUCAGAGUGGAGCUCAGUCAUCCUGCAGAGCAGGGCACCAGUCCAAGGCUGCGGAAACAGCACAACAAUAACCGACUGCUUUCUGGUUAA
rnacentral:lncRNA from 1 species